AUGAAGUGCUGCAAGCACGUUCAGGUCAUUAGUGACCGACCCGAUUACUGCAGCCUUUGAUCAUGUCUAAAGUCCCCCCCCCCACUGAAUCUUACAAACUUCAGUUCAAGUUGUUAAGUGUAUGAAACAUUUUAUUUGUUCAUGAUCAGCAGGAAGCAGCAGCACCUCUGCAGGAGCCUCACCAGAAACCUCUUCAGAAGCCCUUGUGGACCUGGCCUUUGCCGUGGUGUGGGAAUAUUGGCUCGUAGGCCUUAGCUGGUUCUGUUGGGAUGUAGAUGAACUGGUGGAACCUCAAGUUACUCUUCCUGUACUGGGAGCGAGAUUUGUGAGCGUAGACUUGAUCCUCGGCAGACACGGGAGUGAUGUCGGGCUCCUGGUCGCCACCAUCAGAUGAACUCCAGCCCCCCUGUGCAGACUGAUG